rnacentral:rRNA from 1 species
GGGUUGUGAGGUUAAGCGACUAAGCGUACACGGUGGAUGCCCUGGCAGUCAGAGGCGAUGAAGGACGUGCUAAUCUGCGAAAAGCGUCGGUAAGGUGAUAUGAACCGUUAUAACCGGCGAUGUCCGAAUGGGGAAACCCAGUGUGAUUCGUCACACUAUCGUUAACUGAAUACAUAGGUUAACGAGGCGAACCGGGGGAACUGAAACAUCUAAGUACCCCGAGGAAAAGAAAUCAACCGAGAUUCCCCCAGUAGCGGCGAGCGAACGGGGAGCAGCCCAGAGUCUGAAUCAGCUUGUGUGUUAGUGGAACGGUCUGGAAAGUCCGACGGUACAGGGUGAUAGUCCCGUACACCAAAAUGCACAGGCUGUGAACUCGAAGAGUAGGGCGGGACACGUGGUAUCCUGUCUGAAUAUGGGGGGACCAUCCUCCAAGGCUAAAUACUCCUGACUGACCGAUAGUGAACCAGUACCGUGAGGGAAAGGCGAAAAGAACCCCGGCGAGGGGAGUGAAAAAGAACCUGAAACCGUGUACGUACAAGCAGUGGGAGCACCUUCGGGUGUGACUGCGUACCUUUUGUAUAAUGGGUCAGCGACUUAUAUUCUGUAGCAAGGUUAACCGUAUAGGGGAGCCGCAGGGAAACCGAGUCUUAACUGGGCGUUAAGUUGCAGGGUAUAGACCCGAAACCCGGUGAUCUAGCCAUGGGCAGGUUGAAGGUUGGGUAACACUAACUGGAGGACCGAACCGACUAAUGUUGAAAAAUUAGCGGAUGACUUGUGGCUGGGGGUGAAAGGCCAAUCAAACCGGGAGAUAGCUGGUUCUCCCCGAAAGCUAUUUAGGUAGCGCCUCGUGAACUCAUCUUCGGGGGUAGAGCACUGUUUCGGCUAGGGGGUCAUCCCGACUUACCAACCCGAUGCAAACUACGAAUACCGAAGAAUGUUAUCACGGGAGACACACGGCGGGUGCUAACGUCCGUCGUGAAGAGGGAAACAACCCAGACCGCCAGCUAAGGUCCCAAAGUCAUGGUUAAGUGGGAAACGAUGUGGGAAGGCACAGACAGCCAGGAUGUUGGCUUAGAAGCAGCCAUCAUUUAAAGAAAGCGUAAUAGCUCACUGGUCGAGUCGGCCUGCGCGGAAGAUGUAACGGGGCUAAACCAUGCACCGAAGCUGCGGCAGCGACACUAUGUGUUGUUGGGUAGGGGAGCGUUCUGUAAGCCUGCGAAGGUGACCUGUGAGGGUUGCUGGAGGUAUCAGAAGUGCGAAUGCUGACAUAAGUAACGAUAAAGCGGGUGAAAAGCCCGCUCGCCGGAAGACCAAGGGUUCCUGUCCAACGUUAAUCGGGGCAGGGUGAGUCGACCCCUAAGGCGAGGCCGAAAGGCGUAGUCGAUGGGAAACAGGUUAAUAUUCCUGUACUUGGUGUUACUGCGAAGGGGGGACGGAGAAGGCUAUGUUAGCCGGGCGACGGUUGUCCCGGUUUAAGCAUGUAGGCUGGUUGUCCAGGCAAAUCCGGAUAAUCAAGGCUGAGGUGUGAUGACGAGGUACUACGGUGCUGAAGUAACAAAUGCCCUGCUUCCAGGAAAAGCCUCUAAGCAUCAGGUAACAUCAAAUCGUACCCCAAACCGACACAGGUGGUCAGGUAGAGAAUACCAAGGCGCUUGAGAGAACUCGGGUGAAGGAACUAGGCAAAAUGGUGCCGUAACUUCGGGAGAAGGCACGCUGGUGUGUAGGUGAAGUCCCUGCGGAUGGAGCUGAGACCAGUCGAAGAUACCAGCUGGCUGCAACUGUUUAUUAAAAACACAGCACUGUGCAAACACGAAAGUGGACGUAUACGGUGUGACGCCUGCCCGGUGCCGGAAGGUUAAUUGAUGGGGUUAUCCGUAAGGAGAAGCUCUUGAUCGAAGCCCCGGUAAACGGCGGCCGUAACUAUAACGGUCCUAAGGUAGCGAAAUUCCUUGUCGGGUAAGUUCCGACCUGCACGAAUGGCGUAAUGAUGGCCAGGCUGUCUCCACCCGAGACUCAGUGAAAUUGAACUCGCUGUGAAGAUGCAGUGUACCCGCGGCAAGACGGAAAGACCCCGUGAACCUUUACUAUAGCUUGACACUGAACAUUGAGCCUUGAUGUGUAGGAUAGGUGGGAGGCUUUGAAGCGUGGACGCCAGUCUGCGUGGAGCCAACCUUGAAAUACCACCCUUUAAUGUUUGAUGUUCUAACGUUGGCCCCUUACCGGGGUUGCGGACAGUGUCUGGUGGGUAGUUUGACUGGGGCGGUCUCCUCCCAAAGCGUAACGGAGGAGCACGAAGGUUAGCUAAUCCUGGUCGGACAUCAGGAGGUUAGUGCAAUGGCAUAAGCUAGCUUGACUGCGAGCGUGACGGCGCGAGCAGGUGCGAAAGCAGGUCAUAGUGAUCCGGUGGUUCUGAAUGGAAGGGCCAUCGCUCAACGGAUAAAAGGUACUCCGGGGAUAACAGGCUGAUACCGCCCAAGAGUUCAUAUCGACGGCGGUGUUUGGCACCUCGAUGUCGGCUCAUCACAUCCUGGGGCUGAAGUAGGUCCCAAGGGUAUGGCUGUUCGCCAUUUAAAGUGGUACGCGAGCUGGGUUUAGAACGUCGUGAGACAGUUCGGUCCCUAUCUGCCGUGGGCGCUGGAGAAUUGAGGGGGGCUGCUCCUAGUACGAGAGGACCGGAGUGGACGCAUCACUGGUGUUCGGGUUGUCAUGCCAAUGGCACUGCCCGGUAGCUAAAUGCGGAAGAGAUAAGUGCUGAAAGCAUCUAAGCACGAAACUUGCCCCGAGAUGAGUUCUCCCUGAGACUUUAAGUCUCCUGAAGGAACGUUAAAGACGAUGACGUUGAUAGGCCGGGUGUGUAAGCGCAGCGAUGCGUUGAGCUAACCGGUACUAAUGAACCGUGAGGCUUAACCUUACAACGCCGAAG